rnacentral:rRNA from 1 species
UACGAAGGGUGCUAGCGUUGCUCGGAAUUACUGGGCGUAAAGCGCACGUAGGCGGAUUGUUAAGUCGGGGGUGAAAUCCUGGAGCUCAACUCCAGAACUGCCUUCGAUACUGGCGAUCUCGAGUUCGGGAGAGGUGAGUGGAACUGCGAGUGUAGAGGUGAAAUUCGUAGAUAUUCGCAAGAACACCAGUGGCGAAGGCGACUUACUGGACACAUAUUGACGCUGAGGUGCGAAAGCGUGGGGAGCAAACAGG